CUCCGCAGCGCUGCGCGGCCGCGAACCUGGUGCCUUCAGGGAGCGCGGGGGCCGGGCGGGACGCGGCGGACGGACCGUGCGAAAAAUAAAAGGGGCCGGCGCUGGCGUUAUUGCUCUUUCCUCUCCUUAAGCAGGUCAAACGCGAUCGUUCAGAGCUAUUGAUUGCUCCGCGGGCUUGUAGUGAUUUGUUAAAAGGCUAAUGGAAUGAGUCAUCGACAGAGUGGAUUAUUUAAAGCACCAUACACAUGCUGCAAUUUCAAGAGGAACAGUGGGAGCUCUCGUGGAUGGGCGAAGUGGGCGCCGAGGUGCUGCUGCAGCCGUGUGCCACUGCAGG